GCAGUCGUGGCCUAAUGGAUAGAGAGUCGGACUUGUAACCCGAAGGUGAACCCGAAGGUGAACCUGAAGGUCGUGGGUUCGAGUCUCACGUCCGGCA